UCAUUUAAUUUACAUAAAAUAUAUGAAAUGAAAUAUUUGAAAAUUCAAGUCUAACGAGCUACAUUUAAUAAAACUCAAUGAAAACCUCAUGGAUCUGUGCUUUUUCAUGCUUGAAUGAAUAGUAAUAAAGCUGAGCCCGCCUACAGUUUUCUGAACAAACAGAAUUAUUCGAACCUCCUACAUAUUCAGAACUGAAGGCUACGGGCCUCAUACUGUCUAACCGAUUUGUGAUGAUGGGAGCGCCUCUACAAUGGCGAGACUCUUACUGUUAAAACCGUUUUUGAUGACUUAAAAGCCUCUGCAGUUAGGGCUUCCGAUGAUACCAAUUGUGAUGAUGUCACCUUUAAAGUGACGGGCCUCUACAGUUUAUCUUAACUGUAUUGAUUUAAGCCCUCAAAAAUAAUGAGCCUCAGGCUGUUCAUUACCAAUUAAUCUCAAAACCUAUGGGGUUAACAGCUUCAGACUAACCAAAAACGAUUAUUUAGAGGCAUUUAGAAUCAGGAAUCCCAGACUGUCCACUACCGAUUAUGAUGAUAAAAGAACCUCUAGGCUUAGAAACCUCAGACUUUCGAUUCCCGAUUAUGAUGAUUUGUGGAACUCUAGGCUUAAAAUACUUAGACUUUCCGAUAUGAAUGUAUAUUGAUUUCCAGAUUUGUAAUAUGAUGUUAUUCUAAAUGUGUGAUCCUUGAUCCCUGUAGGGUCGAUAGUCUUGGACCAUACAUUACUAAUUGUGAUGAUUAAAGGACCUAUAGAGUCAAGAAUCUAUGCGUGUCCAUAUCCGAUUAUGACGGUUUGAAGUCGUGUGACGUCAGGAAUUUCAGUCUGUCUAUUACCGAUUUUUGAUGAUAGAUGAGAUGAUUAUAACGACAUAAGGAUGAUAAUCUCCAUCUGUUGAGUACAGAUUAUGAUAACUUACAUUUCUCUGAGGUCGAGAAGCUCAAAGUGUGCACAUCAAGUGUGAUGAUUUGAAAAUCUUUUAGGUCAAUAGUCUCCGACUAUCCAUUAGCGACUAUGAUGAUUUAAAGGCCUCUUGAUUCAAUGGCCUGAUACUGCCUAUUACAGAUUUAUGAUGAUUUGAAGACCUUUAGGUCUGAUUUAUCAAAAGUCCCUGACUGUCCAUUACCUACAUAUUAUGAUGAUUAAAAUGUCUCCUGAUUUAGAACCUUAAACUGCCUAUUAACGAUUUGUGGUAAUCGGUAAUACCGAUUAUUAUUUCAUUCAAGAUUGGAAUAAAGAAAACAUCCAGAAUGUAUAUUUUGUGUGUCAACAUGAUGUCGUGUUUUGCUUCCAUAUCCAUAUCAAGACUGGUAUUCAAGACUGGUAUUGAUUGGGAACUUACUCACCAACAUAACUCGUCAGAUUUUGCAUGGACUGCAUGGAAUCUUAAUUAAAAUGUUAUUUCUCCUUUAAGAACCUGACUGUAUUCUAAUUACUUGAAUCUGAAAUCUUAAACCAGUACUUGUUUCAUUGGGGAAAUAACAUGGGAAAAUGUGUAUAUUUGGCUAUGUUUAUGAGUUAUGUAUGGAAACGUAAGAUGCCGCGUAUGAAUGACGAAAACGAUUGCUUUCACUGACUUCAUUAAUUGAUUAAUCGAUUGAUCAUGUUAUGAUAUGCAGCAUUGCAGCAUCCAAAAUUACCUACAUGGAUGCAUUAAUGGACAGGCAUCAUUUGAUAAGCUACUGAAACGGGAUUUAUAUUAACUCGCAAGAGACUCGCAUAAUUAUUAUUU